CGGACGGGUGAGUAACGCGUAGAAAUCUGCCUAGUAGUGGGGGAUAGCCCAGAGAAAUUUGGAUUAAUACCGCAUACGCCCUACGGGGGAAAGCGGGGGAUCUUCGGACCUCGUGCUAUUAGAUGAGUCUGCGUCGGAUUAGCUUGUUGGUGAGGUAAUGGCUCACCAAGGCGACGAUCCGUAGCUGGUCUGAGAGGAUGGUCAGCCACACUGGAACUGAGACACGGUCCAG
rnacentral:rRNA from 1 species